AAAACGGCCCUUUUAAGGGCCACAGUACCAUGUGUAUAUUUAUAUU
rfam:Macrostomum lignano uti_cns_0008446, whole genome shotgun sequence.